GAUGAAGAACGUAGCGAAAUGCGAUAAGUAAUGUGAAUUGCAGAAUUCAGUGAAUCAUCGAAUCUUUGAACGCACAUUGCGCCCGCUAGUAUUCUGGCGGGCAUGCCUGUUCGAGCGUCAUUUCAACCAUCAAGCCCUGUUUAGGCUUGUGUUGGGGCCCUGCGGUUGCCGCAGCCCCCUAAAUGCAGUGGCGGGCUCGUUGUCACUCCGAGCGCAGUAGCGUAUCUCGCUCUGGGCGUGGCGGCGGGUGCUAGCCGUGAAACACCCAACUCUUCUGAAGUUGACCUCGAAUCAGGUAGGAAUACCCGCUGAACUUAAGCAUAUCAAUAAGCGGAGGA
rnacentral:misc_RNA from 1 species